CCUUGUCUGAUGGGGAAUUUCAACUCCUCCGACAAACGCUUCUCAUAUUCCUUCAAGACAUGCAUGUCAGGGUAUCACUUUUCCUCAAGAAUAAAGUACAGAAUCCCAAUGGACGCUUUGCUCUCUCGACCACAGGCCCAGUGCCCCAUGGGAUAGAAGUCCCUGGGUUAAUCAGGAUGUUUAGUAGUAAUGGGAAGGAGUGGAAGAGAUGGGAGUUCCCCACUGGAGGCAGUUACACCAGCUCCAUCCGAGUGGGCUCCUUUGAGCGGUUUGGGGAUAGAG